UUAUUUGAGCAGAGCAAACUUUACAAUCAAAACUUUUUAUUUCUAAUUCAGGUUGUUUCUGUGAACGGUAUUUUUUAUCCAUCGAACUUUAAUCCAAUCAAGGAUAGUACUGGAGGAAACAUUGCCCUGUGGAAACUGUCUGAAUCAGUUGAUACAAAUGUAUAUAAUCCUCUCUGCCUUCCUACACAGGAUUCUACACAAACAGGCACAGUCACACUUGUAGGCUGGAGAAUAUCU